UACAGAGGUGGCAAGCGUUGUUCGGAAUUACUGGGCGUAAAGGGCGCGUAGGCGGCCUACUAAGUCAGACGUGAAAUCCCCCGGCUUAACCUGGGAACUGCGUCUGAUACUGGAAGGCUUGAGGAUGGGAGAGGGAUGUAGAAUUCCAGGUGUAGCGGUGAAAUGCGUAGAUAUCUGGAGGAAUACCGGUGGCGAAGGCGGCAUCCUGGACCAUUACUGACGCUGAGGAGCGAAAGCGUGGGGAGCGAACAGG
rnacentral:rRNA from 1 species